rnacentral:rRNA from 1 species
GCGGUAAUUCCAGCUCUGUAAGCGUAUACCAAAGUUGUUGCAGUUAAAACGCUCGUAGUCGAAUUUUGGCGUGGUGCUUCCGAAGCCCCUGAUUGGGUGUUGAGGGUAGUCCCGCCUUUGUGGAUGGGGGUGUGGUGGCUCUUUGUUGAGUUGCCGCAUUUCCGCCACUGUUUACUGUGAAAAAAUUAGAGUGUUCAAAGCGAGCGAUUGCCAUGAAUACAUUAGCAUGGAAUAAUAGAAUAGGACCUGGUCCUGUUUUGUUGGUUUGUCGGUAUCAGGUAAUGAUUAAGAGGGACGGUCGGGGGCAUUUGUAUUCCAGGGUUAGAGGUGAAAUUCUUGGAUU